UACGUAGGUGGCAAGCGUUGUCCGGAUUUAUUGGGUUUAAAGGGUGCGUAGGUGGUCAAUUAAGUCAGUGCUGAAAUAUCCCGGCUUAACCGGGAGGGUGGCAUUGAUACUGAUUGACUUGAGUAGAGUUGAGGUAGGCGGAAUUGACGGUGUAGCGGUGAAAUGCUUAGAUAUCGUCAAGAACACCGAUAGCGAGGGCAGCUUACUAAGCUCAAACUGACACUGACGCACGAAAGUGUGGGGAUCAAACAGG
rnacentral:rRNA from 1 species